rnacentral:rRNA from 1 species
AUUGAACGCUGGCGGCAGGCCUAACACAUGCAAGUCGAGCGAGCGGCGGACGGGUGAGUAAUGUAUGGGGAUCUGCCUGAUGGAGGGGGAUACCUACUGGAAACGGUAGCUAAUACCGCAUACCCUCAGAUGAACCCAUAUGGGAUUAGCUAGUAGGUGGGGUAACGGCUUACCUAGGCGACGAUCCCUAGCUGGUAUGAGAGGAGUAUGAGCCAACCUGGAACGGAGACACGGCCCAGACGCCUACGGGAGGCAGCAGUGGGGAAUAUUGCACAAUGGGCGCAAGCCUGAUGCAUCCAUGCCGCGUGUAUGAAGAAGGCCUUCGGGUUGUAAAGUACUUUCAGUCGGGAGGCUUUACCGACAGAAGAAGCACAGGCUAACUCCGUGCCAGAAGCCGCGGUAAUUC